rnacentral:rRNA from 1 species
AGUAACACGUGGGUACCUACCUUGAGGUGAGGAAUACCACCGAGAAAUCGGUGACAAGACCGCAUGACUUCUUUCGAGAAGAAAGCUUCGUAAGAGGCGCCACAAGAUGGGCCUGCGCCUGAUUAGCUAGUUGGUGAGGUAAAAGCUUACCAAGGCGUCGAUCAGUAGCUGGUCUGAGAGGAUGAUCAGCCACACUGGGAUUGAGAACGGCCCAG